AAUACACAGGAUUGUUUGACACGUGGUCAAACGACGAAACUACAGAACUUUUGAUAUUGUUCAUGAGAGAGACAGAGAGAAAAGUCCGUGAAUAACCUCGAGCACGCUCAGACAAUGUCAGCUUCCAAGGCCUGGAAGAGAACAGGGAAAACCAGGGAAAAUGGAAUUUUAAAUCAGGACACAAGUUUCUCACUGUGUCUGCCUACAGUUUGUGUAAUUGCUGGCCAAGUCCGAUGUCGUCCGUAUGUUCUGAAGCCGGGUGGCGGAUCACGUGUGCAAGAGCCCUGGACAGACGAAGAAAAAUCUCAGAGGAUGACUUUCAGUAAAUAACAACUGCAGAUUCUGUGCAGGCCAGCA